GGGGCUGCUUAAGCUGGGUGGGUAGUCUUGGGAAGUGUCUUGGGUGCCAUGCUAGGAAGAAGUGGCUCCUGUGACUUCUGGGCUUUGCGGAGUCUAUGGGCUAAAUACUAGGUCUGAAAUUAAGCUUGUGGUUUCUUAUGGAUCUCUCCAGGGAAGGUGAAAUUCCAUAAAAAUUCUUACUGAGCAUACUGUUAAGCAGCUGAUGGGAAAUGCUUUUCUUUGCCUUUCACAAACCUUGUAGCAGUAGUCCAGAGACUUGUGAAUUCGAGGCAGAAAGCCACUGGAUAAUAUUGUGUUAGUAAAACAUUUGGACUAGACUGAAAAUUUGCAGGUGAUGCAGGAUGCCCUGUACUGCUGCUCUUCUGUACAAACCCAACACCGUUAAAUGGUAACCCCUCGUUGCCAGUCUGACUUCACCUAGGUGCAGCUUCCAGACUUGGAUCCUUUAUUCCUCUGCCAGACCGAGGAGCCCAUUAGCUGUGACAGGCCAAUCAACCAUUUCCUAAUUGAUCUAGUGAUGUGGUUACUAGUGACGACAGGCAGAUGAACUUGAUGACCCAGGAGGUUCUUUCCACUUCUGUGCUCCAUGGAGGUAGUGCAGUGUUUGAUGCCAAGGGUGAAUCACGGGUGUAUCUGUCCUACAUCUUUGGAAGCAGGCUCCAUGGCAUUGCUGACAAUGGCGAUUAACAAGGCAAAGCAUGUUCCCUAAAGCCAGUACACCAGGCAAAACAGCCGAACAUGUAGGGCAAUGAAUACAAGAAAAUAGCUUUCAGAUGCAGUUGUCUGCAGCAUCUGGUACUGAGUCAGUCUGCAGCAAGUGAUGGGUGGACAGCUUCUGGAGAGACAAGGACUUGCUCAGGGAUGGACCACCAGCAUCAGCUGGGUGGUGUGAAUGGGCUGCAGAAGGACAAGCAGCAGCAGAAACCAUAUAAACAUGUAAAAAAUGCAGAAGGGAGAGAAAGGAAAAGGGCUCUACAAAUGCAGGAGACUUACCUUGUUACAAGCAGAGAUUUCAAAAAAUGAAGGGGGGAUUCCUGAGGUAGCAGCUCAUUUGCUGCUCCCUGUUUUUGUCCAGCAGUGAUGUCUCCUUUUUCGUUCAUGCUGUGUGAGAAGUGCAGCCAUGUGUGUACAGAUGUACUCAAGUGAAAUAGCUCAUCUGUGGCAUCCUUUAUCCCAUGCAUUGUUCCUACAGAAGGUGCAAAUGCAAGAAAUACACAAGCUUAUUAAAUCCUAUUUGGAAGACUCCAUUUCUGCAGCCUAAAUGUUGGAUCAUGGCUUUAUUUUCAGCUGGGAAACAAAUGGCAAAUGGAAGCCCAGUCCUGGAAGGGACCACAGGCUCAGAUCCCAGCAGUCUGCCAGCAAAGACAAUGUUGCUGUUGGUCUCUCACCAACAUGGACAAACACUUGGAGCACACUCAACCAAGACACCAGAUGUUUUAGAACAAAGAAGAGAAGCUGGAGGGGAAAAAAAAUAACAAGACUGCCAUGGCAAUCAGCUGUGUCUGCUUGAGAUGUUGGAAGGUGCCUGUAGCACAGCAGAUGACCAGUUGAUGAGCAUCUUGCACUCCUGCUGGGAGGUGUGAUCCAUGUCUAUGCCUGGGGAGCCCAGACGCAACCUUCACCAGACCUGCAGGGUGGGCAGUACCUGGAGUGUCCUGUGUAUGGUGUGCCCCAGCUUACUGGCCACACGGACAGCUUGCUGGGAUGUCUCAUCAACAUUUAUGUGGCUCAGGACAAGCUCUGUACUCAGCACAAACAGAACUGCUGGUGUCUGGCCAGACGGGUUGUGUAGAAAAAUUCUGGCUAUCAGACAUGAAGGAGGGCUUUGCUGUGGAAUGUCAAUGCCAGAAGUUUCAUGUCUGCAUGUUUGGGAAGUUAUGCUAGCUGGAAAUGCUCAGUGUCUUAGUACGGUUGCUAGAAAGGGCCUGGCAAACACUCCCAACAGAAAACAGGGUUUAUUUGUUCAGUAGCAAGCAUAUUAGCUGGGAAUCAGGUACCAACUUGCAAGGAAUUUGGCUGCAAACUCUCUGCUCUGGAGUAUUUGACCAGAGUGCAGAGGAGACUGUAGGGUAUGAACACCCACAUGAAACCCAGGUUUUGGCACUUGAAUACACAACUGAACAGUGAGGAUGGAAUAAAGAUUUCUUUGUGUUAGACCUAAUGUGAUUCCUGAAAAUCCUGAUGCAUUUCUGGUGCUUCCCAUCUUCCCUGAAGUAUCAAGGAUUGUGCCAUCAGCUUUCAUCAGGAUGAACUAUUUCUUUAGCAACCAGAUGUGAUUGAAAGUAAUGGUGCUAUUUGACAACAUGCCUCCCUUUCCAGCUGUUUAAACCUUUAUUAAACCUUUAUGCAUCUCACAAAGGAACAAGUUUCAUCUUACCCAGGUACACCAUCACAGGUUGGGGAAAUGUUGCACGGUGUCUGAAACGCAACCCAUGGGUGCCUUGAAGAUGUCUUACACCUCUAAAUUUCAAAACAGUUUUCCACAAAAUGCAAAUCUUUGUGCAAUUGUGCAAUUUGUGUGCUUUCACCUAAAUUGGGAGAAUAUGAAAUAAAACAAGAUUAUGGAAGAUCCAUAGUUCUCAUGGGUACACUUCACUUCUUCAGAUGUGGCUGUUUCUUUUUUAUAGAAAGCUAUCAUUUUUUCUAUGGAGAACUUUCAAGCAGUUAUAGUCACAAACCACAGCAUCAGGUACAUCUAGUAGUGCCACUAUUGUCUUCCCCAUUCUUAGUCUUUCACGUGCAUGGAAAUGCCAUAUUCUCAAUUACCUUCUACAAGGGAAAGAAACCGGGGGCCUUCCUGCAGGUUUCCCCAGAGGAACGACUAGUGUUGUGAUGGAUCACAUGCAUGGCUAGAAGUAGUGGCACUGGCAUAUGGUGGAGAUCAGAGUUUCAUGCUGCAAUUAGCAGAGUGGGGUGUGGUGAUACUAUAAUCUGAGAGCAACCACCACCCACACAGGGCAUGUUUUGGCCUCCUGCUCUUGCUGUGCUGAUGGGUACUGGCACUUAGGCCACCACGCCCUGUGGCCAAUUCCAACAUUAUAGAGCCUUUGCCACUAAUAAAACAUAAAUAAUAAUUUUCUUGAGAGAAAAACACCAUGUUCUUGUCCCUCCUUGUUCAGGUGGGGAUGGCUGGUGACGAGGGUUGCUGGAGGACAUGGAAGAGCCUGGUCCUCUCUGGAGGGCAGGUUAUUGAUACCCCUCAGUGGAGCAGCACUUAUAGGGUCCAGCUGGCAGCAUGGGAGGGGGCAAUGUUACUCAAAUGGGUUAUUUCAUGUUGCGUAAUCCUUUGUGUGCUGUUCUUGUGGGCUUGCUGCUGCUCUUCUUACUGUCCACAGGAAACUAAUCUCAGGAUGGAUUUUUCUUCCUCUGUUGAAAUUCUGCUGUUUCAGCAGCCCACUGACAGUCAUUGUCUUUUAUUUCCAUGUGUGAGCUGAAGCCAGAAUCAGAAACUUUCUACUUUGUCUCCAAACAAUGGGGCUGUGAUUUUUUCGCAUGAUGACUUCGUCUUUUCAGCCGGUGUGCUGUGCUUCGCUUCUAGCUAUGGCCCAUGGCUGGUGCUCAGCAGAAGCUGGAAAAUACCCACAAUGAAUCCAGGCAGUUAUGCAACGCUGCACAUGAAGUAAAAUUCCUUUCUAACCCCUGCAGGCGAUCAGUUUACGCCCUGAAUGAUGAGAUUUUGAUUACCCUUAUCUAAGCUACAAAUACUGUUAACGGCCAGAAAAUCAGCUAGCUCUGGUAGGGCCCACCAAAGUGUGGAUCUUGGUGGCCUUCCGAGCCUGCAAGUCCUUUGCAGCUCCAUGGGAUGUCAGGGUGGGAAGUCCUUUCACUGUGCAGAUGUUAUUUGCUGAGGCCUUGUAGAUCAAAACCCAGCUCCCACCACUUCCAGCACAGCAACUUUUAAUGAGCAAAUACUGUCCUGGAAAGCGUUGACAUCAGGAUCGGCAGGCUGCUUCCCCCAAGCUGGCAGGAGGAGCUUGUUGCUUCUAUGCUGGAUCUCCCCUGAAUACAGGGGCUGGUUCCAGCAUCC